UACGGAGGGUGCGAGCGUUAAUCGGAAUAACUGGGCGUAAAGGGCACGCAGGCGGGCUUUUAAGUGAGAUGUAAAAUCCCCGGGGUUAAACUGUGAAUAGCAUUUGAGACUGGGAGUCUAGAGUACUUUAGGGAGGGGUAGAAUUCCACGUGUAGCGGUGAAAUGCGUAGAGAUGUGGAGGAAUACCGAAGGCGAAGGCAGCCCCUUGGGAAUGUACUGACGCUCAUGUGCGAAAGCGUGGGUAGCAAACAGG
rnacentral:rRNA from 1 species